AAAUUAUGGUGAAUGCACCUCAAAAGUUCUCUAAAUCAUUCUCAUGCCUCAAAUAGGAAUUCUAACUCAUAUUGUUGAAAAUUAGAAAUUUUUGCCAUAAGCUU